AACGGCCGCGGUAUAUUGACCGUGCAAAGGUAGCAUAAUCAUUAGUCUUUUAAUAGAAGGCUGGAAUGAAAGGCUUGACGAGAAAUUGACUGUCUCAUUUUAAUUUANUAGAAUUUAGCUUUUAAGUUAAAAGGCUUAAAUGUUGUUGGAAGACGAGAAGACCCUAUAGAGCUUUAUAUUUUAUUAUAUNAAUAUUUAUUGUAUAUAAAUUGNNGUAUUAAUUANAUAAUUUAAUUUGUUGGGGUGACNUAAAAUUUAUGAUUAACUUUUANUAUAANUUAUACCACUAAUUUGUGANUUAAUAGAUCCGUUAUUAGCGAUUAAUAGAAUAAGUUACCUUA
rnacentral:rRNA from 1 species